rnacentral:rRNA from 1 species
AUUGCACGCUGGCGGCAGGCCUAACACAUGCAAGUCGAGCGGAGCGGCGGACGGGUGAGUAAUGCCUAGGAAUCUGCCUGGUAGUGGGGGAUAACGUCCGGAAACGGGAGCUAAUACAGCAUACUAUCAGAUUAGCCUAGGGCGAAUUAGCUAGGUGGUGGGGUAAAGGCCUACCAAGGAGACGAUCCGUAACUGGUCUGAGAGGAUGAUCAGUCACACGGGAACUGAGAAACGGUCCAGAGUCCUACGGGAGGCAGCAGUGGGGAAUAUUGGCCAAUGGGCGAAAGCCUGAUCCAGCCAUGCCGCGUGUGUGAAGAAGGUCUUCGGAGUGUAAAGCACUUUAAGUUGGGAGGCGUUACCAACAGAGUAAGCACCGGCUAACUUCGUGCCAGCAGCCGCGGUAAUUC